rnacentral:rRNA from 1 species
GAUGAACGCUAGCUACAGGUUUAACACAUGCAAGUCGAGGGGCAGCAUGGACAUAGCUUGCUAUGUUUGAUGGCGACCGGCGCACGGGUGCGUAACACGUAUCCAAUCUGCCCGUUACUCGGGGAUAGCCUUCUGAAAGGAAGAUUAAUACCCGAUGGCAUUCAUUAGCGGCAUCGCUUAUGAAUUAAAGAUUUAUCGGUAACGGAUGAGGAUGCGUACGAUUAGCUUGUUGGCGGGGUAACGGCCCACCAAGGCGACGAUCGUUAGGGGUUCUGAGAGGAAGGUCCCCCACACUGGAACUGAGACACGGUCCAGACUCCUACGGGAGGCAGCAGUGAGGUUUUAAAUUGGUCAAUGGUCGGAAGACUGAACCAGACCAAGUAGCGUGAAGGAUGACUCG